rnacentral:rRNA from 1 species
CAGUCGCCGCGGGAACACGAAGGGUGCAAGCGUUACUCGGAAUUACUGGGCGUAAAGCGUGCGUAGGUGGUGGUUUAAGUCCGUCGUGAAAGCCCUGGGCUCAACCUGGGAAUUGCAGUGGAUACUGGGUCACUAGAGUGUGGUAGAGGAUAGUGGAAUUUCCGGUGUAGCAGUGAAAUGCGUAGAGAUCGGAAGGAACAUCUGUGGCGAAGGCGACUAUCUGGGCCAACACUGACACUGAGGCACGAAAGCGUGGGGAGCAAACAGGAUUAGAGACCCCUGUAGUCCCUGUCUCUUAUAC